rnacentral:rRNA from 1 species
CCUACGGGAGGCAGCAGUGAGGAAUAUUGGUCAAUGGACGAGAGUCUGAACCAGCCAAGUAGCGGGAAGGAUGACUGCCCUAUGGGUUGUAAACUUCUUUUAUAUGGGAAUAAAAUGUUCCACGUGUGGGAUUUUGUAUGUACCAUAUGAAUAAGGAUCGGCUAACUCCGUGCCAGCAGCCGCGGUAAUACGGAGGAUCCGAGCUUUAUCCGGAUUUAUUGGGUUUAAAGGGAGCGUAGGUGGAUUGUUAAGGCAGUUGUGAAAGUUUGCGGCUCAACCGUAAAAUUGCAGUUGAAACUGGCAGUCUUGAGUACAGUAGAGGUGGGCGGAAUUCGUGGUGUAGCGGUGAAAUGCUUAGAUAUCACGAAGAACUCCGAUUGCGAAGGCAGUUCACUGGACUGCAACUGACACUGAGGCUCGAAAGUGUGGGUAUCAAACAGGAUUAGAUACCCCAGUAGUC